AUACGUAGGGUGCAAGCGUUAAUCGGAAUUACUGGGCGUAAAGCGUGCGCAGGCGGUUCGGAAAGAAGGAUGUGAAAUCCCAGGGCUCAACCUUGGAACUGCAUUCUUAACUACCGAACUAGAGUAUGUCAGAGGGGGGUAGAAUUCCGCGUGUAGCAGUGAAAUGCGUAGAUAUGCGGAGGAGUACCGAUGGCGAAGGCAGCCCCCUGGGAUAAUACUGACGCUCAUGCACGAAAGCGUGGGUAGCAAACAGGAUUAGAUACCCUGGUAGUCCACGCCCUAAACGAUGUCAACUAGCUGUUGGGCCCUUCGGGGCUUAGUAGCGUAGCUAACGCGUGAAGUUGACCGCCUGGGGAGUACGGUCGCAAGAUUAAAACUUAAAGGAAUUGACGGG
rnacentral:rRNA from 1 species